AGGAGAUCUAAGCAGUUGACUCAGAGGAGGGCCAGCAGGUGAGAGUACUUGUGAAAGUGGCAUAAAUAGCUGGAGGCUGGAUCUGUUAGUUUUUGGGAGCAAUGUUGUGGAAUUGUUAUAGAUUGAAUGUGUGCUGGUGAAUUCUUUGCUUGGACCUUGACUUUAGAGACUUGGACUACAUUUUAGACUAAGGACCUCUUCAUAUGGGGCAAAUUUUGGUGGCAACUCUGGUUCUGCAGCAGGUUUGCCAUGGAGGCUGCCAGCUUCCAUCACUCACUGGAGAUGUACUUCUGUAGUGGCUCUGUGGCAAAACUGCUGUGGAUUUGGAGCUGCUGUUGAAAAAAGGUGCUGCCAGCAACAUGGGAAGUUUCCUGUGUUGCAUUGCCCUCAAUGGGGCAAACUGGCUGGCAGACACUCCCCUGCCCAUGUGAUGAGGAUACUGAGAUCUUCUGGGGGAUGCUUUCUCAAACCAACCAGAACCCAGUUGGCGACUGUCACUCAGAGGAUCUUUUCACCAGCCACCUCACGACUGUGGAAUGUCUAGUCGGAAGAGCUCCCACAGCUAAAUGAGCUGUCAACAUUUAAGACACAACUGGAGACCCAACUCUUCUGGCAGGCCUACCCAGUCAACCUGAAAACAUGAGUUUUAUGUUUGUGUUCUAUAGCUAGCUACUGUAUUUUGAUCAUCACAGUAUGUGUUUUGGUGUAUGUAUUUUAUAGUGGUGUGUUUUGAUAUACCCUAUGUAUUUUUUGUAUGCAUUUUAUGUUGUGUUUUGACUGAGUUGUACCUCACAUUGAGCUAUGAGGAGAAGUGGGUAAUAAAUAAAAUGUAUGGUUAUAAAGC
rnacentral:lncRNA from 11 species